rnacentral:sRNA from 2 species
CGCCACUUCUUAGGGGAGUAGCUGACUCAAAUUUCGAUUUGAGGGUAUAUGUCAACACACUUGGCGGUCGCCAUGGCAUGUACAGCAAACGUUAGAUUUGCC